rnacentral:tRNA from 1 species
GGUCCUGUGGUGUUAACACGUGUGGUUGCAAACCUCAAAAUGCAGAAUAGACUCCUGCCGGGGCUU